rnacentral:rRNA from 1 species
AACGAACGCUGGCGGCAUGCCUAACACAUGCAAGUCGAACGAGAACGUCGGGUCUAGUGGCGCACGGGUGCGUAACGAGGGGGAACCUGCCCUUAGGUUCGGAAUAACUCCCCGAAAGGGGAGCUAAUACCGGUUAGGGUCUUCGGGCAAAGGAGCUAGCGCCUUUGGAUGGGGCCGGGUUGGUUUAGGCGGUUGGGGGGGUAAAAGCGUACCAUGGCGAUGAUCCAUGGGUGGUCUGAGAGGAGGAUCAGCCACACUGGGACUGAGACACGGCCCAGACGCCUACGAGAGGCAGCAGUGGGGAAUAUAGGACAAGGGGCGAAAGCCUGAUCCAGCGAUGCCGCGUGAGUGAUGAAGGGCUUAGAGUUGUAAAGCUCUUUUACCCGAGAUGAUAAUGACAGUACCGGGAGAAUAAGCUCCGGCUAACUCCGU